rnacentral:rRNA from 1 species
AUUGAACGCUGGCGGCAGGCCUAACACAUGCAAGUCGAGCGAGCGGCGGACGGGUGAGUAAUGUCUGGGAAACUGCCUGAUGGCGGGGGAUAACUACUGGAAACGGUAGCUAAUACCGCAUACCACCAGUUGUUCCCAGAUGGGUUUAGCUAGUGGGUGGGGUAAUGGCUCACCUAGACGUAGAUCCCUAGCUGGUCUGAGAGGAUGACCAGCCAAACUGGAACGGAGAGACGGACCAGACUCCUACGGGAGGCAGCAGUGGGGAAUAUUGCACAAUGGGCGCAAGCCUGAUGCAGCCAUGCCGCGUGUGUGAAGAAGGCCUUCGGGUUGUAAAGCACUUGCAGCGGGGAGGCGUUACUCGCAGAAGAAGCACCGGCUAACUCCGUGCCAGCCGCCGCGGUAAUUC